UGAUACCAGAGUCAAAAGGUCUAAACCCACAUGAGCUUGCUCAUAGGUGGGUGAAUGACCUUGUGACCCGCCCCAAUAUGAGCAUAAAAGUGGGAUGAUAGUCCCAGAUAUGCGAAUAUUGGGUAGGGUGCUAUGUGCCAGUGGCACAUGUUUAGCACGGACCGAAGCGGAGCGUAGACGUGGGAGUGCGUAACGCAAAACAAUCCGUAGGUAUCA
rnacentral:sRNA from 1 species